AGUCAAGAUCUCUCUCCUACUCACCUCAGGUGGCUGGUCAGCAGUUAUCCCUGCUGAAGCAGAGAACUCAACUGAGCUGGUGCUUCCAGGCUGAAAGGUUUCCAGGAAAAAAAGUGCCUAUGGAAAAGAGAAUGGUGACUGAAGCACUACAGCUCUGAAGGUGCUGAAAUUCUGUUCUCAUUGACCAUGGAGUUUUAUUUAUGUGGUGGGAUGAAUAUCAACAUUUAAAACCAAACAAGCGAGCAAGGAAAAGCCAACAAUAGAGCAAACCCUACAAACUGUUUCAUUAAUGGGCACAAUGUGGAAUGGGAAAGAGGACAUGAAUAGAGAAACAUUAAGCAACGUGAACCGAGAUCCCUUCCAAGUGCACUGAGAUGGUGUGGACAGUGCUCCAUGAGGGCAGAUUCCAGAUUGGAAUGAUUUUCCUAGAGUGAAUACCUAUGAAUAGACUGAAACAUCUGGCUUCCAAUGGGAAGUGAAUACAUGAAGAAAGUUGCUGAUCAAACAUACCUGUCACAAGUACUGUCAGAAGGAUGUAAUGGAAAUUGUGAACCUUUUGGAAAUAAUAUUUUUAAAAACAGAAUGAUGCAGCAUGAAGUCCAUACAAGUCCAAUCUAAAUGUAAGCUGCAAGCCUGCCUGAGAACCCUCUUCUCUUUAACUGAAAUAGGAUUUUUCACAGCACAAGCUUUGGAAAGCACUCAGAAACACCUGACUACUUGGCUGAGAAAUGAUGAGUGUAUAUUAGACACCCAUAGAUAGGUGGGGAUGUUCACUGAUUGGGGCACCUAGAA